UACAGAGGUCCCGAGCGUUGUUCGGAUUCAUUGGGCGUAAAGGGUGCGUAGGCGGCGGGGAAAGUCUGAUGUGAAAUCCUGGGGCUCAACCCUGGAACUGCAUUGGAUACUUCCUCGCUAGAGUACUGGAGAGGAAACUGGAAUUUACGGUGCAGCAGUGAAAUGCGUAGAGAUCGUAAGGAAGACCAGUGGCGAAGGCGAGUUUCUGGACAGUUACUGACGCUGAGGCACGAAGGCCAGGGGAGCAAACGGG
rnacentral:rRNA from 1 species